UACGGAGGGUGCAAGCGUUAUCCGGAUUCACUGGGUUUAAAGGGCGCGUAGGUGGGUUGGUAAGUCAGUGGUGAAAUCCCCGAGCUUAACUUGGGAACUGCCAUUGAUACUAUUAAUCUUGAAUACCGUGGAGGUUAGCGGAAUAUGUCAUGUAGCGGUGAAAUGCUUAGAUAUGACAUAGAACACCAAUUGCGAAGGCAGCUGGCUACACGAAUAUUGACACUGAUGCACGAAAGCGUGGGGAUCAAACAGG
rnacentral:rRNA from 1 species